CAAGUCGAGCGGACAGAUGGGAGCUUGCUCCCUGAUGUUAGCGGCGGACGGGUGAGUAACACGUGGGUAACCUGCCUGUAAGACUGGGAUAACUCCGGGAAACCGGGGCUAAUACCGGAUGCUUGUUUGAACCGCAUGGUUCAAACAUAAAAGGUGGCUUCGGCUACCACUUACAGAUGGACCCGCGGCGCAUUAGCUAGUUGGUGAGGUAACGGCUCACCAAGGCAACGAUGCGUAGCCGACCUGAGAGGGUGAUCGGCCACACUGGGACUGAGACACGGCCCAGACUCCUACGGGAGGCAGCAGUAGGGAAUCUUCCGCAAUGGACGAAAGUCUGACGGAGCAACGCCGCGUGAGUGAUGAAGGUUUUCGGAUCGUAAAGCUCUGUUGUUAGGGAAGAACAAGUACCGUUCGAAUAGGGCGGUACCUUGACGGUACCUAACCAGAAAGCCACGGCUAACUACGUGCCAGCAGCCGCGGUAAUACGUAGGUGGCAAGCGUUGUCCGGAAUUAUUGGGCGUAAAGGGCUCGCAGGCGGUUUCUUAAGUCUGAUGUGAAAGCCCCCGGCUCAACCGGGGAGGGUCAUUGGAAACUGGGGAACUUGAGUGCAGAAGAGGAGAGUGGAAUUCCACGUGUAGCGGUGAAAUGCGUAGAGAUGUGGAGGAACACCAGUGGCGAAGGCGACUCUCUGGUCUGUAACUGACGCUGAGGAGCGAAAGCGUGGGGAGCGAACAGGAUUAGAUACCCUGGUAGUCCACG
rnacentral:rRNA from 1 species